rnacentral:rRNA from 1 species
UGGGGAAUAUUGGACAAUGGGGGGAACCCUGAUCCAGCCAUGCCGCGUGUGUGAAGAAGGCCUUAUGGUUGUAAAGCACUUUAAGCGAGGAGGAGGGUACUGGUAUUAAUACUACCAGCUACUGGACGUUACUCGCAGAAUAAGCACCGGCUAACUCUGUGCCAGCAGCCGCGGUAAUACAGAGGGUGCGAGCGUUAAUCGGAUUUACUGGGCGUAAAGCGUGCGUAGGCGGCUAAUUGAGUCGGAUGUGAAGUCCCCGAGCUUAACUUGGGAAUUGCAUUCGAUACUGGUUAGCUAGAGUGUGGGAGAGGAUGGUAGAAUUCCAGGUGUAGCGGUGAAAUGCGUAGAGAUCUGGAGGAAUACCGAUGGCGAAGGCAGCCAUCUGGCCUAACACUGACGCUGAGGUACGAAAGCAUGGGGAGCAAACAGG